CUCAUGCCAUCAGAUGUGCCCAGAUGGGAUUAGCUUGUAGGUGGGGUAACGGCUCACCUAGGCGACGAUCCCUAGCUGGUCUGAGAGGAUGACCAGCCACACUGGAACUGAGACACGGUCCAGACUCCUACGGGAGGCAGCAGUGGGGAAUAUUGCACAAUGGGCGCAAGCCUGAUGCAGCCAUGCCGCGUGUGUGAAGAAGGCCUUCGGGUUGUAAAGCACUUUCAGCGGGGAGGAAGGCGAUAAGGUUAAUAACCUUGUCGAUUGACGUUACCCGCAGAAGAAGCACCGGCUAACUCCGUGCCAGCAGCCGCGGUAAUACGGAGGGUGCAAGCGUUAAUCGGAAUUACUGGGCGUAAAGCGCACGCAGGCGGUCUGUCAAGUCGGAUGUGAAAUCCCCGGGCUCAACCUGGGAACUGCAUUCGAAACUGGCAGGCUAGAGUCUUGUAGAGGGGGGUAGAAUUCCAGGUGUAGCGGUGAAAUGCGUAGAGA
rnacentral:rRNA from 1 species